GGACUACACGGGUUUCUAAUCCUGUUUGCUCCCCACGCUUUCGCGCCUCAGCGUCAGUCUCGGUCCAGAGAGCCGCCUUCGCCACCGGUGUUCUUCCCAAUAUCUACGAAUUUCACCUCUACACUGGGAAUUCCACUCUCCUCUCCCGAACUCAAGCACGCCAGUCUCGAGCGCCAUUCCCAGGUUGAGCCCGGGGCUUUCACACUCGACUUGACUUGCCGCCUACGCGCCCUUUACGCCCAGUAAAUCCGAACAACGCUCGCCCCCUUCGUAUUACCGCGGCGGCUGGCAC
rnacentral:rRNA from 1 species